GGUUCAAUGGCGUAGUGGUUAUCGCAUCUGUCUUACACUGAGAUUUGCACAGAAGGUCUCCGGUUCGAUCCCGGGUUGAGCCA
rfam:Gymnopus luxurians FD-317 M1 unplaced genomic scaffold GYMLTscaffold_22, whole genome shotgun sequence.